UUUGAGGUCAGCCUGGUUUACAUAGUAAGUUCUAGGACAACUAAGGCUACAGUAUAGUGAGAGCCUGUCUUUUUUCAAACAAACAAAUGAACAAACAAGGUUGCAGAGAUGGCUCAAUUGCUAAGAGCUGCUGACACUCUUAACUGGAUGCUUUUUCAGAGGUUCCAGGGUUCUGUUCCCAAUACCCAUGAGGCAGCUCACAAGUAUCAGUCGUAACUCCAGUUCCAUGGGAUCUGACGCCCUCACACAGACAUCCAGGCAAAACACCAAUGCAAAUAAAAUUUUAAAAAAAUGGAUAAUAGGGGACUGGAGAGGUUCUCUGUUUAUGAGUAUUGUCUACUCUUCCAAAAAACCUGGGUUUAGUCCCCAGCACACACAUGACAGCUCACAAUUUUAUGUAACUCCAGUUCCAGGGUAUCCACACCCUCACACAGACAUACAUGCAGGCAAAACACCAAUGCACAUAAACAUAAAUAAAUCUUAAAAAAUUGUGUAUAUAAGAUAAAGGCUUUAAGGUUUAUAAUGGGAAAGUGACAAUAACUUAUUUGUAAUGACUAAGAUAAUUAAGGAUUCUGUAAGCUAUCAAUCCACUCAGCACUGGUAGUUAAUUCAGUUAGGCCUUUAAAUUAAAAGCAAGUUUAAAAAAUUUCCCUUGUGUUAAUUUAAUUUUUCUGAUGCCUGACAGGCAUGUUUAAUCAUCUUUUCAAAAUUCUGUCAUUACCACCUUGAACUUCUCUUCCUCCCGUCU
rnacentral:lncRNA from 1 species